rnacentral:lncRNA from 1 species
UCUAGAGUGACUUUCUUACCACAACGUAUUCACCCAGUACAGCAAUGCUUCUCAAAUUACGGUUUUAAAAAAGAAAAAAGUUUUUGUUUUUUUUUUUUUUCAAAUUUCCAGUCCAUGAUGGGCUAAUACUUUCUUAAAAGACAAUACAAAUGAAUGUCGCAACCACAACUAAUGAUUACCGAAGUUUCUAAACGCUUGCUCUCAGCGUCUAUAUCACCUCGUGGCAGACCAGCAACCAACAAACAACAGGACUGCAUAGAGGCUGGUGCUUGGUGCCUAAGAGGCAACUUCUACGUCCUCCUCAAAUGGAAGAGGUUAAUGGUUGAGAGAGAAUUCUGUAUGAGUGACCUGAAUAAAAACCAAAGUGGAUGGCAUUUGGAAGAGGCAACAGGUCACUUCUACCUUGGAAUACCACACUCGAGGCGACCUUGACCAAUCCCUCAGCGCUGCUGGUUGCAUUGCCUCAAGUUGACACAUAAAACCACCUCUAUGUGUCACUGUGAUGUUGUGAUUUAUAAGAAAUACAUAUUUUUCAGAUAAAUGGUCUUUGUCCUAGCUUCUGUCACAGAACUCCCAAAACGCUUGGAAUAUCCUAAGUGAGGAGAGCUAUUGAGUUUUUCUGCUUGUUAGUAAGGUGACUUUUGGAAAACACCUGAGGAUGGGGCUGGUUUCCAGUGAAGCCCUGUGAUUCCAAUAAUCACCAUGAGAGUAGAGAGUUGGAAUGCCCAGUUCCACCCUCAGACCUCCAGGAGGGGAAUGCGGCUGGAGAUUGAGUUCAAUCGCCAUGGCCAAUAACUUAAUCAGUCAUGCUCUUGUAAUGAAACUUCCACAAAAACCCAGAAGGAGAGGGUUUGGAGAGCUCCCAGGUUGGUGAACAUGUGGAGAUGCGGGGAGAGCAGAGGCAUGGAAGCUCUGUGCCCCUCCCACUUGCCACAUACCUUACCCUAUGCAUCUCUCCUAUCUGACUGUUCUUGAGCUGUAUCCUUUUGUAAUAAACUGGUGAUGUAUUCUGUAAAAUGUUACUCU